GGGGGCGCCCUGGUUUCGACGGAGAUGCUGAAGCCAAGGUCGCAGGUCGGGGAUGGCCGUUGGCCCCGUCAUCAAUUCGGCCAGGCACACAAAUGCCAACAAUGACUACGAAUACGCUAUGGCUGCCUAGUUUAACUAAGCAACUGUAGUUCCAGGGCAUGACCCUGGCGGCUCUCCGGGCCUACGCCCGAUAAACCGGAGUUGUCGACGACACCCCUCGGGCUAGCGUUGUACGGUUGCACGUCCCGUAUCGUGCGAAAUCUUAGACGAGCUGGUCACAUCGGCGCCUGUUCGUGGGCAACCUUUGUGGCGAGAAUAAAAACACGGACUAAGCCUGUAGAAGCCUUGCGCGGAUCGUUUUCGGACGGGGGUUCGAUUCCCCCCGCCUCCACCA
rnacentral:tmRNA from 1 species